rnacentral:rRNA from 1 species
GGGUCAGUAGGUUGGUCGUGCCACCGGUACGUACUGGUCUCACUGAUUCCUCCUUCCUGAAGAACCGUAAUGCCAUUAAUUUGGUGUUGCUGGGAAACAGGACUGUUACUUUGAAAAAAUUAGAGUGUUUAAAGCAAGCUAACGCUUGAAUACAUUAGCAUGGAAUAAUGAAAUAGGGCGAUCGAUCCUAUUUUGUUGGUUUCUAGGAUUGACGUA